rnacentral:rRNA from 1 species
GACGAACGCUGGCGGCGUGCUUAACACAUGCAAGUCGAACGCAGAAGCACCAGCUUGCUGGUGUGGAUGAGUGGCGAACGGGUGAGUAAUACGUGAGUAACCUGCCCUUGACUCUGGGAUAAGCCCUGGAAACUGGGUCUAAUACUGGAUGCUACAUGUUACCGCAUGGUGGUGUGUGGAAAGGGUUUACUGGUCUUGGAUGGGCUCACGGCCUAUCAGCUUGUUGGUGAGUUAAUGGCUCACCAAGUCGACGACGGGUAGCUGCACUGUGGGGGUGAGCGGCCACACUGGGACUGAGGCAAGGCACCGGCACCGACGGGAGGCAGAAGGGGGGAAUCUUGACCGAGGGGCGACGGGCGAAUGCAGAGGGGCCGCGGAAGGGAUGACGGCCUUCGGGUUGAAAAACACUUUCGGCAGGAAAGGAGCCACAAGUGACGGUACCUGCAGAAGAAGCGCCGGCUAACUACGUG